GACGAACGCUGGCGGCGUGCCUAAUACAUGCCAGUCGAGCGGACGAAUCGAAAGCUUGCUUUUGAUUCGUUAGCGGCGGACGGGUGAGUAACACGUGGGCAACCUGCCCUGUAGACGGGGAUAACACCGAGAAAUCGGUGCUAAUACCGGAUAACACGAAAUGUCGCAUGACGUUUCGUUGAAAGACGGCGCAAGCUUUCGCUACAGGAUGGGCCCGCGGCGCAUUAGCUAGUUGGUGAGGUAACGGCUCACCAAGGCGACGAUGCGUAGACGACCUGAGAGGGUGAUCGGCCACACUGGGACUGAGACACGGAACAGACUCCUACGGGAGGCAGCAGUAGGGAAUCUUCCGCAAUGGACGAAAGUCUGACGGAGCAACGCCGCGUGAGAGAAGAAGGCCUUCGGGUCGUAAAGCUCUGUUGUUAGGGAAGAACAAGUAACGCAGUAACUGGCGUUACCGUGACGGUACCUAACGAGAAAGCCACGGCUAACUACGUG
rnacentral:rRNA from 1 species